ensembl:lncRNA
CAGUGAGCUUCUGGAAGGCAGGGACUGCAACUCUGUUCCUCUCUGUCCCCAUCGCCCAACAUGAAGCCUGAGCACAGCGGAUAUUUACUAAAUGAAUGGAGCUCUCCUGUCUAAAAGAGGAGUGAAAGAAAUUACAUCCAUGCAAACUGACUCACACUGCAGCUGCUGUCUGCAAGGAAAAAAAGGUGGAAAAAUAAGGCGCUGUCACUGAGCACUAAUAAGCUCAAUGGGAAAGAGUGAUAUCUUCCCUUGCAGAGCUUCUUAACAAUCUAGAAGAGCUGCCAGGAACCUAAGAGGGAGAAGAGAACAUAAGCAACCCUACAAAAUCCAAAAGAGCCUAAAAUACUGUGCCCACUUACGUUAUCAAGAGAAUGACAGAUCACAUCUUGUCUCCUGGCAAGAGGCCAAACAGAGGCUGAAUUCUGUGGCGCAAGUUGUGGCAGAGUUACCAACACCACACCUCGAAGGGAGCCCAGGAACACAAUCACAAGCCCCAUGUACACACGAACGCCAAACACACCUUGG